rnacentral:lncRNA from 1 species
AGAUCAAAACAUACAAGAUCGUUGAUCAAACAUCAAAACCUACCUCAACAAUUACCUUCAGAGUUGUAAAUGUUUUAGGAAGAGGCGCUUGGAGUUCCAACACUAAAGAACGGGGUUCGUUCUUGGAGGUCCACAGGAGAUAAACAACAUAAGGAGUUGAGAGCUGGUAUGAGGAGCGCGCAGUACAUGAGGAUCAAGUUGAUUCUAGGAAGAAGUUCAGAGGGGACUAAGGGUUAGUUAGUCUAAAUCAUACAAUCUUAUCGUUUAUAACUGAUUGUUGAAUGGCAAAGUGGCCGGAGUUUUUGAUCUUUUGCAAAAAAAUUUCUUCAUGAUCAUAGUUGUGUUAUUUACUUUAAGCAAUUUACAAAUUGUGGUAUUCACACACGUUGGGACCAAUAAUCUAAACUUUCACUUGGA